rnacentral:rRNA from 1 species
UACAGAGGGGGCAAGCGUUGUUCGGAAUUACUGGGCGUAAAGGGCGCGUAGGCGGCCUGCUAAGUCGAACGUGAAAUCCCUGGGCUCAACCCAGGAACUGCGUCCGAUACUGGUUGGCUUGAAUCCGGGAGAGGGAUGUGGAAUUCCAGGUGUAGCGGUGAAAUGCGUAGAUAUCGGGAGGAACACCGGUGGCGAAGGCGGCGACCUGGGUAGAUACUGACGCUGAGGUGCGAAAGCGUGGGGAGCAAACAGG